GACGAACGCUGGCGGCGUGCUUAACACAUGCAAGUCGAACGGAAAGGCCCUUCGGGGUACUCGAGCGGCGAACGGGCGAGUAACACGUGAGUAAUCUGCCCUUGGCUUCGGGAUAGCCACCGGAAACGGUGAUUAAUACCGGAUACGACACAUCACUGCAUGGUGCGUGUGUGGAAAGUUUUUUCGGCCAGGGAUGUGCUCGCGGCCUAUCAGCUUGUUGGUGGGGUAAUGGCCUACCAAGGCUUCGACGGGUAGCCGGCCUGAGAGGGUGACCGGCCACACUGGGACUGAGACACGGCCCAGACUCCUACGGGAGGCAGCAGUGGGGAAUAUUGGACAAUGGGCGGAAGCCUGAUCCAGCAACGCCGCGUGAGGGAUGACGGCCUUCGGGUUGUAAACCUCUUUCAGCACAGACGAAGCGCAAGUGACGGUAUGUGCAGAAGAAGGACCGGCCAACUACGUGCCAGCCGCCGCAGUAACAC
rnacentral:rRNA from 1 species